UACGUAGGGGGCGAGCGUUGUCCGGAUUCAUUGGGCGUAAGGAGCGUGUAGGCGGCCAGGUAGGUCGGUUGUGAAAACUGAAGGCUCAACCUUCAGACGUCGACCGAAACCAUCUGGCUAGAGUCCGGGAGAGGAGAGUGGAAUUCCUGGUGUAGCGGUGGAAUGCGUAGAUAUCUGGAGGAACACCGGUGGCGAAGGCGGCAUCCUGGACCGAUAUUGACGCUGAUGCGCGAAAGCCAGGGGAGCAAAGCGGG
rnacentral:rRNA from 1 species